AGAAACUGUGCAUCAUGGACUGGACUCUUCUCCUCCUCAUGCUCCUCUCUUACUGCACAGGUUCCCUCUCCCAGCCUGUGCUGACUCAGCCACCCUCCAUCUCUGUAUCUCCUGCAUCAACAGUCAGACUCACCUGUUCCAUGAGCAGUGGCUAUAAUAUUGGUGACUUUUGGAUUAGGUGGUACCAACAGAAACCAGGGAACCCUCCUAGGUAUCUCUUAUAUUACAAAUCAGAAUCAGAUAAGCACCAAGGCUCUGGAGUCCCCAACCGAUUCUCAGGAUCCUCAGAUGCCUCUGCCAAUACAGGACUUCUGCUCAUCUCUGGGCUUCAGACUGAGGAUGAGGCUGACUAUUACUGUAAUACAUGGCAUGGCAAUAGUAAAAGUUACACUGUGCUCCAGAGUCACAAGGAAGUGAGACUAAAACCUCCCUUGAGCCACUCCACCUGA